rnacentral:rRNA from 1 species
GACGGAGGAGGCAAGCGUUAUCCGGAAUCAUUGGGCGUAAAGCGUCCGCAGGUGGCCUAUCAAGUCUGCUGUUAAAGCCCAGGGCUCAACCCUGGAUCAGCAGUGGAAACUGAUGAGCUUAGAGUGCGGUAGGGGUAGAGGGAAUUCCCGGUGUAGCGGUGAAAUGCGUAGAGAUCGGGAAGAACACCAGUGGCGAAAGCGCUCUACUGGACCGCAACUGACACUCAUGGACGAAAGCUAGGGGAGCGAAUGGGAUUAGAUACCCCAGUAGUCCUAGCCGUAAACGAUGGACACUAGGUGUUGCGCGUAUCGACCCGUGCAGUGCCGGAGCCAACGCGUUAAGUGUCCCGCCUGGGGAGU